CUGAGGCGGAGCGGGGCUGAGGCGGGGCCGGGCCGGGCCUGAGCGGGGUCGGGACGGACGGAACUCACAAAAAAGCCCCACGAGCCUCAGGGGUGUAGCCGGGGCUCGUUGGCCUCUUUCCGGCGUCCGGGGACUGGCCGAGCUGUACGUGGGACGGAGCCCGGCUGCCUCAGCCCGGAGCGCGGCCGGACGGGCUCCAAGUAAUGAAAGACUUGGGGUUCAUUACAGGAGGUGCAUGUGCUAAUGAGCAGGCCAGUUAAUGGGGCAGGCAGGGAGCUGUGCCUGCUGCUCCCCAGAGAGCUCCGGAGAAGGAACCCCAGGGAUGGAGUGUCGGGAUCAGGGGCAGGAACAAAAAAGAAUCCACAGGAAGUCAAGUGAGGAGAAAUUCCUUCUUUCAGGAAGAAAUGCGUGUGUGAGAUUUGUGGGUGUAAUUUGGGUAGCUGUGGAAUUCCUACAAGUUUUGUUAGAAUUCCUAAGCUUGGUCAGCAUGGCUGAGCAGGUCCCCUCUUGUUUGUGUUACCAGAUGCCAGUGGAGCUUCCCAAAUGGAAUCCCAGAAUGGCUGGGGUUGGAAGGGACCUUAAAUCCCAUCCCAUCCCACCCCUGCCAUGGCAGGGACACCUCCCACUAUCCCAGGGUGUCCCAGUGUCCAGCCUAGCCUUGGCACUGCCAGGGAUCCAGGGGCAGCCCCAGCUGCUCUGGGAAUUCCAGCCCAGCCAGGAAUUCCCAACAUCCCAUCUAAAUUUCUCCUCUGGCAGAAAUACUCUAUUGUUUUGGGUUAUUUUUAUAAAUGGCAUUUCUUGAAUAAUUUUUAAGCUUGUUUGCUGUUUGUUCCACAAAGGAAGAGAAUCAGGUCUGUUAUCCAGUGAAGACUCAUUCAGACCAAGUAGGAAAGGCUGUUGAGGAUAAAAGAGUUAAUUUGCUUUUUGUUGAGUGUGGGUGGUUGUGGGGCAGAGCAGCUGCACCUGGAGACAAUAAAUGCAAAUUUAGCUCAAGGCA
rnacentral:lncRNA from 1 species